rnacentral:rRNA from 1 species
GACGAACGCUGGCGGCGUGCUUAACACAUGUAAGUCGAACGGAAAGGCCCUGCUUUUGUGGGGUGCUCGAGUGGCGAACGGGUGAGUAACACGUGAGUAACCUGCCCUUGACUUUGGGAUAACUUCAGGAAACUGGGGCUAAUACCGGAUAGGAGCUCCUGCUGCAUGGUGGGGGUUGGAAAGUUUCGGCGGUUGGGGAUGGACUCGCGGCUUAUCAGCUUGUUGGUGGGGUAGUGGCUUACCAAGGCUUUGACGGGUAGCCGGCCUGAGAGGGUGACCGGCCACAUUGGGACUGAGAUACGGCCCAGACUCCUACGGGAGGCAGCAGUGGGGAAUAUUGCACAAUGGGCGGAAGCCUGAUGCAGCAACGCCGCGUGCGGGAUGACGGCCUUCGGGUUGUAAACCGCUUUCGCCUGUGACGACGCGUGAGUGACGGUAAUGGGUAAAGAAGCACCGGCUAACUACGUG